GGUGAAAAUGAUGAAUUCUGGGGUACUGAUCCAUGUGACCUGAAAAAGCCAUCCAUUUCCUGAUUCACC
ensembl:snoRNA